UCUUAUUAUGUUUCAGAGAAAGUACUUAAACGACAGCUUCUUGUUAAUUCGUAAGCCUCUUUCCUCACCACCCCAUCUUCUUUCUUUCCCUUAUUCCAAAUCAACCAAAUGAUUCUUCCCGCCUGCACAGCAACCCCAACUCCUAGCAAUCCCAAACACUCGGUUUCGCUUCAAAGCAGGAAACAACAGAUAGACCCAACUGUGUUAUGGACCUCCUCUAUAUCCCAACGCUGCCGAAACGGCCAGCUGCCUCAAGCCCUCUCGCAGUUCAUCCAAAUGAGACGCGCCGGUGUCGAACCCAACCACAUCACAUUCGUCACACUCAUCUCCGGCUGCGCUCACUUUCCCACCAAAGCCGCACUAUUCGGCCCCCCGCUUCAUGCCUACGUGUCCAAGCUGGGUUUAGACCGGACUAAUGUGAUUGUGGGGACGGCUCUGAUUGAUAUGUACGCGAAGUCCGGCAGGGCUGAGUUUGCGAGAUUGGUUUUCGGUGCGAUGGAGGUGAGGAAUUCGAUGACUUGGAAUACUAUGAUUGAUGGGUACAUGAAAAACGGGAAUGUGAGGGGUGCAGUUGCGGUGUUCGAUGAAAUGCCUGAGAGAGACGCGGUUUCGUGGACCGCUUUGAUUGGUGGGUUUGUGAAGAGAGGGAGGUUUGAGGAAGCGUUGGCGUGGUUCCAUGAGAUGCAAGUCUCGGGUGUGGAGCCGGACUAUGUGACUGUGAUUGCUGUCAUUGCUGCUAUUGCUGAUUUGGGAGCUCUUGGUUUGGGGAUGUGGAUGAACCGGUUCGUUGUGAAGCAGGGGCUUAGAGGCAAUGUGAGGAUAGGUAAUUCGUUGAUUGAUAUGUAUGCAAGAUGUGGAUGUAUUGAUUUUGCGAGGCAAGUUUUUGACAACAUGUCUGAUCGGACCGUGGUUUCUUGGAACUCGAUCAUUGUGGGAUUUGCCGUGAAUGGGCAUGCAGAGGAAGCUCUUGUGUUUUUCAAGCGGAUGCAGAUGGAAGGAUUCAAGCCGGACGGUGUCAGCUUCACUGGGGCUCUUACUGCAUGCAGCCAUGCUGGUUUAGUCGAUGAGGGGCUCCUUUUCUUUGAUAUCAUGAAAAAGAUACACAAAAUAACCCCGAGAAUUGAGCAUUACGGCUGCAUAGUUGAUCUCUAUAGCCGUGCAGGGAGGUUGGAAGAUGCCUUGAAUAUAAUAGAGAAUAUGCCCAUGAAGCCAAAUGAAGUUGUUUUGGGUUCUUUGUUGGCUGCCUGUAGAACUAGUGGGAAUAUCGACUUAGCUGAAAGACUAAUGAAGUAUCUCUUCGCGUUGGAUCCUGGUGUUGAUUCGAAUUAUGUGCUCCUUGCCAAUAUAUAUGCCGCAGAUGGUAGGUGGGAUGGCGCAAGCAAGGUUAGGAAAACUAUGAAAGAUCUCGGAAUCCAGAAGACGCCAGGUUUUAGUUCAGUUGAGAUUGGUUGUGAUAUUCAUGAGUUUGUGGCCGGUGAUAAAUCUCAUGUUGAUGCAGAGUGUAUAUAUUCAACAUUGAAACUUCUCUCUUUUGAGCUCAAGUUAUGUGGUGUAAUUACUUACUCGCAAAAGUUUGGAAACUUAUUCUGGAUGGGGAGGGCCCUGUGGAAAGCUUCCAGAGAUAUUUGGAUAUACCUUGCACCUGAAUAUACAGAGAAUCGUAUGCUGCAGCUAUAGCAACAAUGUCAAAUACAUGAAAUCAUGUGAUACCCAAGACUCUGCAUUCGUGUACAAGUAUACUAGCAACAAGGAGUCAGACCAAUAAUAUUGUAAGAUCAAAACCUGUGCAAGUUUCUGGUGCAGGCUAUAAUGAAAGAUUGAUUGAAAUGAUAAAUAGUGCCAUAGUGGAUAGAAGUCCUUCAAUUAAAUGGGCAGAUGUGUUUCUCUGCAGCCCAGCUUGGUAAGGUGAAGAAAACUUUGCUGGAGAUGGCUAUUUUACCGACUAGGAGCAGAGAUUUGUUCACUGGCCUUCAAAGGCCAGCUCGAGGUAAUGUUCUGUAAGAUUUUUAUAUCCAAACUAAUAAUAGAAAAAAGCCUAAGAACUUGUUUCAUGAAUAAAUUUGCUUUCUUUUUCUGGUCUGCUUCUGUUUGGUCCACCUGGUAAUGGGAAGACCAUGCAUGCUAAGGCAGUUGCUUCAGAAUCAGAGGUAACCUUUGUCAAUGUAUCUGCAUCUUCACUCACAUCAGAAUGGGUGCAUCUCUGUCCUAGUGUUGCAUAAUUUUGUGUGUUCUUCUCUUCUUUCUGCUAUGAAACAUAUAGCAAGUCUAAUGUGUUUUCCUUUCUUUGAAAUAGAUGUAAAAUUGUAAAACGUAAUAGAAGUACCGAAAUAUAUUCCAAGUCGGUUGACAA